CGUCCGCUUUCUUGAGGGCGGGACCGUCGUUUGUUCCAUCUCCGGUCACCGCGACAACCUGCCUCUGCUCCAACACAGUGCUGUCGAUGAUACCUGAGAUGACAACACACAGACACAUAGAUAGAAAUAGGAAGUCGUCUCCAGGUUGCAUGAUGCCACAUUUGAUGGCGAUGGCCCGGGCAGUGUUGAUGUUGUCUCCGGUCACCAUGCGGACAGUGAUCCCGGCCCGCUGGCACUUUCUGAUGGCGUCUGGUACCUGAGGAGAGGAGAACACCAGAGGAAACAACAACAGUGACACAUGUUGAGGGAUGACGUACCUCAGGUCGAACAGGG